rnacentral:rRNA from 1 species
UACGUAGGGGGCUAGCGUUGUCCGGAAUUACUGGGCGUAAAGAGCACGUAGGCGGGAACUUAAGUCAGGUGUGAAAGACCGUGGCUCAACCACGGGUAUGCAUUUGAAACUGGGUUUCUUGAGGGCAGGAGAGGAAAGCAGAAUUCCUGGUGUAGCGGUGAAAUGCGUAGAAAUCAGGAGGAAUACCAGUGGCGAAGGCGGCUUUCUGGACUGACCCUGACGCUGAGGUGCGAAAGCGUGGGUAGCAAACAGGAUUAGAUACCCUGGUAGUCCCUGA